rnacentral:antisense_RNA from 1 species
GCCCGCCAAGGCCCCUCGCCCUCUCGUUCGGCCCGGGGCCGCGGGCAGCACUCACCGAUGAGGUUGGGCACGAACAGAAAGAUAUUUUCGUCUGGCAUCGCGGCGCCUCCCUUGCUGCCCGGGCCUGCUCUGGAGAUGCCAGUGCUGUCCCAGCCCCGCCGCGCGGCCUCAGCCUCCGGCCCGGCGCAUCGGCCGCACCACCUGCGCCCUGGACCCCGCCGCCCCAACCCGGCCCCAGAUGCUGAAGCCCGCAGCCGUCGGGAGCAUGGGCCGGCCCCGAGAUGCGCGGGGCGCAGGGGGCGCGCGCAGCCCGCCCUUCCUACCCGCAACCUCCCUCGCCUCUGCCCGCCCCGCAGGCGCUCCGGGCCUCCAGCUGCGGUCGCCGCUGCUCCAGCUGCGCGUGGCUUCCGGGAACCUCCUCCUCCGCGCCCGUCGUUGCAAAAUUGGAGAGAGGAAAAAGUGGCUUAAAAAAAUGGUUGCGGCCCCUUUAAGGCCUAUCCGCUUCCUUUCCCUUUUCCUCCCUCCGCCCCUCUCCCUUGGCUCGUACCAAAGCGCAGAGGAGGAGAGGGAGGAAGGAACCAUUAACAUCGAGAAAAAGUAGAAACGGAAAAGGAAAGAGUAAAAGAAAAGACCGAAUAAAAAUCUCUGCUUUCCUUU